GUGUUCACUUCAGCAGCACAUACACUAAAAUUGGAACAAUACAGAGAAAAUUAGCAAGGUCCCUGCUUAAGAAGGAAAAAAAAAAAGAGUAUAUAACAUGAAU
ensembl:snRNA U6 U6 spliceosomal RNA